AGAGUUUGAUCCUGGCUCAGAACGAACGCUGGCGGCAGGCCUCAAACAUGCAAGUCUAGGGGGUGCGCAAGCAUCACCGGCGGACGGGUGCGUAACACGUGGGAAUAUACCUUUUGGUUCGGAACAACGCAGGGAAACUUGCGCUAAUACCGAAUGUGCCCUUACGGGGAAAGAUUUAUCGCCAAAGGAUUAGCCCGCGUAGGAUUAGCUAGUUGGUGAGGUAAUGGCUCACCAAGGCUCCGAUCCUUAGCUGUUCUGAGAGGAAGAUCAGCCACACUGGGACUGAGACACGGCCCAGACUCCUACGGGAGGCAGCAGUUGGGAAUCUUGGACAAUGGGGGAAACCCUGAUCCAGCCUUGCCGCGUGAGUGAUGAAGGCCUUCGGGUUGUAAA
rnacentral:rRNA from 1 species